UACAGAGAGUGCGAACGUUGUUCGGAAUCACUGGGCUUAAAGAGCACGUAGGCGGCGCUAUAAGUGUCGGGUGAAAUCCCAUGGCUCACCCAUGGGACUGCCCGGCAGACUGUAGUGCUCGAGUGUGGUAGGGGAGAGCGGAACUCCAGGUGGAGCGGUGAAAUGCGUAGAUAUCUGGAGGAACACCGGUGGCGAAGGCGGCUCUCUGGUCCACAACUGACGCUGAGGUGCGAAAGCUAGGGGAGCAAACGGG
rnacentral:rRNA from 1 species